GCCCACGUGACUCCACAGCCCAAAGUGUCCUCGGGCAAGACACUGAACUCCAAGUUGCUCCCCAUGGCAAGUUAGCGCCUUGCAUGGCAGCUCUGCUACCAUUGGUGUGAGUGUGUGUGUGUGUGUGUGUGAGUGUGUGUGUGAGUGUGUGAGUGUGUGUGUGUGUGUGAGUGUGUGAGUGUGUGUGUGAGUGUGUGUGAGUGUGUGUGAGUGUGUGUGAGUGUGUGUGAGUGUGUGUGUGAGUGUGUGUGUGUGAGUGUGUGUGUGUGUGAGUGUGUGUGUGUGAGUGUGUGUGUGUGAGUGUGUGUGUGUGAGUGUGUGUGUGUGAGUGUGUGUGUGUGAGUGUGUGUGUGUGAGUGUGUGAGUGAGUGUGUGAGUGAGUGUUGUGAGUGAGUGUGUGAGUGAGUGUGUGAGUGAGUGUGUGAGUGAGUGUGAGUGAGUGAGUGUGUGAGUGUGUGUGUGUGUGUGGAGUGUGUGUGUGAGAGUGUGUGUGUGAGAGUGUGGUUGUGAGUGUGUGUGUGAGAGUGUGUGUGUGAGAGUGUGUGUGUGAGAGUGUGGUGUGAGAGUGUGUGUGUGAGAGUGUGUGUGUGAGAGUGUGUGUGUGAGAGUGUGUGUGAGUGAGUGUGUGUGUGUGAGUGUGUGUGUGUGAGUGUGUGUGUGUGAGUGUGUGUGUGUGAGUGUGUGUGUGUGAGAGUGUGUGUGUGAGAGUGUGUGUGUGAGAGUGUGUGUGUGAGAGUGUGUGUGAGAGUGUGUGUGUGAGAGUGUGUGUGUGAGAGUGUGUGUGUGAGAGUGUGUGUGUGAGAGUGUGUGUGUGAGAGUGUGUGUGUGAGAGUGUGUGUGUGUGAGAGUGUGUGUGUGUGAGUGAGUGUGUGUGUGUGAGUGAGUGUGUGUGUGUGAGUGUGUGUGUGUGAGUGUGUGUGUGUGUGUGAAUGGGUGAACGAGACACCGUGUAAAGCGCUUUGGAAGCGCUAAUGUUAAAAAAGCGCUAUAUACGUGCAGACCAUUUAGUGCUGCAGAAACGGACCCCAUUGUGGUAAACAAAAUGUUUACAGUUAGUUCAUUGUAUAAUUAAAUAAUUUAAUUCAAUUGAAAGUUAUUGAGUGCCAGUAAUAUUUGCCGAAGUAAUAUUUGUGAUCCGUAUGCACCACUGACGAAUGUCUGUUUGCCGUUUUCUGCCGUUAAAUCUCUGACGAAUGAACGGAAGAGUUCUGUGAGUACAUUUUCAGCCCUACGUGACCAAAUAGCAAAUGAACUAAAAGUGUCCUUUGAUUUGGGUUCAAGCAACCGACUAGUCAUUGUUUCUAUAGCAUGUAUAUCCAAGAAAAAAACUAAACUGCAGCUCUCCAUAGAGCGAUUUUGUGGCUGAGGGAAAAGAACGAUGCUUAUUAAAAACCCUGAAAUGGCCUUCAACCAUCAAAACAAAAAAAAAGGUUCACUGAUAAAACCAUUAAUAACUUAAAUCACUUUGAUAAAAUCGAAAAGAAACCAGAGAAACGUCUAAUCGUGCAAGCUUUCUAAAUAAAGGAUUGACAUUUGUAUGUGUCAAACGGCCAUCUUAGGAAUUCUGGAAGUCAUGCUGGACUUACAUCAACAGCACUGCAAUCUGUGCAUCUUUAGAGUACGACAAGGGAGAGUACGGGGUAAAGCGUCUUGCUCUAGUUGUUAUUACAUAGCUUUUAUAGGAAAGGGCUCCGGGGGAAUUUGUAGAGAGAGUGGAAAGGGAAUGGUGCUCAUAACCACGAUAAAAGCUCUCCUGGGGCCGGAGAGACACUUUAAGUCCACUGACCAUCAUGAUCAGACUGAGAUUUCAUGGCAAUGAGUUGUCUUUCAUAAAAAUCCAUGAUGGAAGAAAUUGUUUCCAGUUCUACAGGGAGGCGCUCGGGGUACUCUCAGUCUCUCUGGCUCUUUCCAAUACCCUACAUGAGCAGUUAUCCCCGAGCAUUUUAUUCUAUUAUUUAUUUUAUUUCUUCAGAUUAAUACUUGAUUCCGCUUAAAUACGUAACUGAAUUUUGUCAGCCACUGUUAUUUAUUUAAAUGAGUCAGACGUGUCGGUGAACAAGAGGCAUGUCGGGAGUUCAUGUUGAAUUCGUAUUGCGUGCACAUAUUUCAUUCAGAUCUUACCGCCGCCUCCACUGAAUCGUGCAUUUUUGCAUUAGAGUUAAGCAAACACUUUAAUCGAGCCACUUAAUUAGCCGACGCCGAGCACUAUAAACGAUGCUGUGGUAAAAUGAAGUGAUUGUGAAUGGUUGAAAUGUCAUGUUGAGAGUGCCGUGUUUUGUAAAGUGCCUAAUUCCCGCAGUCUGAGGUUUAUGUGGGAUGAUGCUACAGUGUCCCCUCUGAUUACUAUAAAUCUUUAUCACUUGCCUGCUGGCAAUAGACUGCUCGUGUGAAGAGGGCUACCAGUUUAGGUUCUUGCCAGCCAUAAAAAAAAAAAAAAAAACCCACACCUGGCUAGCAUGAUCUUGGCUGCUUUCAAUAGUUUACAUGCUAUGUUAUAUUUCAAAAUCCCACCACCAUUAUUUUCAAUUAUGACCGUGGACGAUUAUUAUUAAUUGCCUUAAUUCAUUUUGAAGGGAACAAUUGUCAGAGUAUAACCAGCAAAUUAGACCGUCA
ensembl:lncRNA